GCGUGCGUGGCGAAGUGGUUAACGCAUCGGGUUGUGGCUCCGACAUACGUGGGUUCGAUUCCCAUCGCACGCC
rnacentral:tRNA from 1 species